GGCUGGAAUACAGCCUCAUCCCGAUACAUUUGGCCAGACGGACGUAACAAUUCAGUCUGUACACCAGAAUAAUGACGCCGAGCUAAUAGCAGCAGCAGCAGAAGCGGAAACGGCAGCAUCAGAAGCAUCAGCACAUGAUCGGUCUCGUCCUGCCUCAUCUGCUCAGCACCCUGUAGCACAGGUCAUCCGCCGUGACGCAGGAAAACACAAGAAGAGGCGGAGUCUCAGAAGCCUGUGUUCGUCAGUCCUGAGAGUUCAGCAAAACUUCAAGCAGUUAA